rnacentral:rRNA from 1 species
CCUACGGGAGUCAGCAGUAGGGAAUCUUUCACAAUGGGCGAAAGCCUGAUGGAGCAACGCCGCGUGCAGGAUGAAGGCCUUCGGGUUGUAAACUGCUUUUAUAAGCGAGAAAUAUGAUGGUAACUUAUGAAUAAGGAUCGGCUAACUACGUGCCAGCAGCCGCGGUCAUACGUAGGAUCCGAGCAUUAUCCGGAGUGACUUGGUGUAAAGAGUUGCGUAGGUGGCAUAAUAAGUAGCUAGUGAAAUCUGGUGGCUCAACCAUUCAGACUAUUAGCUAAACUGUUAAGCUCGAGACCGUUAGGGGUAACUGGAAUUUCUAGUGUAGGAGUGAAAUCCGUAGAUAUUAGAAGGAACACCAAUAGCGUAGGCAGGUUGCUGGGACGGUUCUGACACUAAGGCACGAAAGCGUAGGGAGCAAACGGGAUUAGAUACCCCAGUAGUC